rnacentral:rRNA from 1 species
AUUGAACGCUGGCGGCAGGCCUAACACAUGCAAGUCGAGCGGAUGAAGGGAGCUUGCUCCUGGAUUCAGCGGCGGACGGGUGAGUAAUGCCUAGGAAUCUGCCUUGUAGUGGGGGAUAACGUCCGGAAACGGGCGCUAAUACCGCAUACGUCCUGAGGGAGAAAGUGGGGGAUCUUCGGACCUCACGCUAUCAGAUGAGCCUAGGUCGGAUUAGCUAGUUGGUGGGGUAAAGGCCUACCAAGGCGACGAUCCGUAACUGGUCUGAGAGGAUGAUCAGUCACACUGGAACUGAGACAGGGUCCAGGCUCCUACGGGAGGGAGCAGUGGGGAAUAUUGGACAAUGGGCGAGAGCGUGAUCCAGCCGUGCCGCGUGUGUGAAGAAGGUCUUCGGAUUGUAAAGCACUUUAAGUUGGGAGGAAGAGCAGUAAGUUAAUACCUUGCUGUUUUGACGUUACCAUGAGAAUAAGCACCGGCUAACUUCGUG